UACGUAGGGUGCGAGCGUUGUCCGGAAUUAUUGGGCGUAAAGAGCUCGUAGGUGGUGUGUCACGUCGGCCGUGAAAACCUGCAGCUUAACUGUGGGCGUGCGGUCGAUACGGGCAUCACUGGAGUUCGGCAGGGGAGACUGGAAUUCCUGGUGUAGCGGUGAAAUGCGCAGAUAUCAGGAGGAACACCUGCGGCGAAGGCGGGUUGCUGGGCCGACACUGACGCUGAGGCGCGAAAGCCAGGGGAGCGAACGGG
rnacentral:rRNA from 1 species